GUCCACGCCGUAACGAUGUCAACUAGCUGUUGGUCAUAUAAAUAUGAUUAGUGGCGAAGCUAACGCGAUAAGUUGACCGCCUGGGAGUACGGUCGCAAGAUUAAACUCAAAGGAAUUGACGGGGCCCGCACAAGCGGUGGAGCAUGUGGUUUAAUUCGAUGCAACGCGAAGAACCUUACCUACCCUUGACAUACAGUGAAUUAAGCAGAGAUGUUUGAGUGCCUUCGGGAACACUGAUACAGGUGCUGCAUGGCUGUCGU
rnacentral:rRNA from 1 species